rnacentral:rRNA from 1 species
ACGGGAGGCAGCAGUAGGGAAUCUUCCGCAAUGGACGAAAGUCUGACGGAGCGACGCCGCGUGAGCGAAGAAGGUCUUCGGAUCGUAAAGCUCUGUUGUUAGGGAAGAAGAAGUACCGUUCGAAUAGGGCGGUACGGUGACGGUACCUAACGAGAAAGCCCCGGCUAACUACGUGCCAGCAGCCGCGGUAAUACGUAGGGGGCGAGCGUUGUCCGGAAUUAUUGGGCGUAAAGCGCGCGCAGGCGGUCCCUUAAGUUUGAUGUGAAAGCCCACGGCUCAACCGUGGAGGGCCAUUGGAAACUGGGGGACUUGAGUGCAGAAGAGGAGAGCGGAAUUCCACGUGUAGCGGUGAAAUGCGUAGAGAUGUGGAGGAACACCAGUGGCGAAGGCGGCUCUCUGGUCUGUAACUGACGCUGAGGCGCGAAAGCGUGGGGAGCAAACAGGAUUAGAUA